AAAAUUUUGCGGUUGUUAUGUGAUAUUGUGUGAGAAUGCAGUUAUAAGUGGUUCCCGUUUCUUGAAAUAAAACUUGCAAUCCGUACA
rnacentral:lncRNA from 1 species